GCGCCUGUAGCUCAACUGGAUAGAGUAUCUGACUACGAAUCAGAAGGUUGGGGGUUCGAGUCCUCCCGGGCGCACCA
rnacentral:tRNA from 1 species